CAGACCCUCCCAGCAGUGACAAGUGCCACUGGCAGCCGUGACCCUGCUGUGCCUCUCCCCGUGGGACACCUGUGGUAACUUAGAAGAGCUCACUGAGUUACACAUGAGGAUCUUGGAAAGCUGUCAUGGACAUUUAUAAGGUCAUUGUCAAACUUCUAAAAUUUUCUAGAAAUAACCUAAUCUCUGUGAAGUCUUCUCGUGCCUUCUCAUAAAGGAGUGGUCUAUUGGUAUAUUUUAGGCUUUGAAGAGUGAUGGAGAAGAAUUUGCAUGCUCAGCCUGGAAAGGAAGCUUAGGCACAGCCAUUGAUUCCUGUCUGGCACUUGCUGGUGCUUCUGACCCAGUGCAACAGUACCUGAAUAUCUUGACACUUGGUUCUAAACUGAGUAGAAGUUGACUAAUAUGUACUGCAUAAAUAUAUAUACACAAGACUGAA